AAACAAGGUCCUUUCUUCAUGUCACAGCUGCACUUAUUCCCUGCUGGAUGUUUAAGGUGUCAGCUGGAGCCUGUCCAUGGUGACGCCUGAGGUUUCUGAGUUUCAGCCCAAGGAGGCAGCCCUGUGGCCAGAACCAAGUGCCGAGGAACUGUCCCCCACAGGAGUCAGCCAUCCCUCACGCCUGCCAGCGACCUGUGAGUGUGGAAGCAGAGCCUCCUGCCUGGCUACACUGCGGAUUGUGAGAGCUUGGGUGGGCCGUCUGGGCCUCAGAAGGGACAGUGGAAGGUACCUGCCGGGCCCCCGUCACUCGUCUCAGGCCACCUGUACCCUCGCCCACUUCUGCGCCACAGGCAGAGCAAGGCCGCUCUUGUCAUCUGCCUCCUCGCUGCGACUCCCCCGCCUCUGGGGCUCCAUUCUGUCCAGUGGCUGCUCCUGUCUGCUGCUCGGCCCUGUUAGGCUGUCUCCACGCCCCAGGGUCUAG
rnacentral:lncRNA from 1 species